GCAUUAUUCAUAACAACAGAAAAAAAGAAACUAACCAAACAUCCAUCAACUAAUGAAUGGAUAAAAAAUAUGGUAUACCCAACAGUGAGAUAUUAUUAAGCCAUAGAAAGGAAUGAAGUUUCUAUGCUUGCUACAGCAUGAACAUUGAAACCAUUACACUGAGUGAAAGAAGCCAGCGUGGCAGGUAAAGGGAUGCGAGCAAGGAGGAGACAUUGUGAUCUUGACUCCUUUUCCUUUGAGUAGAGGAUAAUUUGUCACAUUUUGGAAGGCAGUGCCUUUGAGCAGCUUCAUGAGCCUAGGAUCUGACUCUCUUAGGAAAGUUCCUUGGAAGAGCCUACAGGUGACAACAGUGUUGAACUUUAGGCAAGCCCUGUGAUACUGGAAAAUUGCAAAGGUUAAGAAAUGUCCCCACCCUUUUGUGUUCUGGGAAACAGCUCACUGCAAAGAACUCCCUUCCCCAUAUGACUUAGAUGAGACUCAUAGGUGCCCCCACUUGUUUACCUAUGACAAGGCCAGACCCAGAGCCUCCAAACUCCCUUUCUUUGUUUUUGUGGUUAGUUUAACUGCCUGUUUCCACUGGUCAGUCGGAACAAAGUGUUCGUUAACCUAACUUUGGUGUAGAGUCUCUCCUUUCCCCAGGUCCUGGCCCACCCUCAGCCUGAGCCAGCAGACAACUCCUCUUUACAGACCUUCCUGAUCAGCCCUCAACCACUGUCUGAUUGUGUCACUCUGAUCAUCCCAGCCCCCAACACCCACUUCUUUCUAACCUUGUUUAUGCCUCUUUAGCAAAGCAAAAUAUUUACUGCCUCAUCUUGAGACACUUGCAGAUUAAGUGGUCAGAACAUUCCCUCUACUGCAAUAAUCCUUUUGAAUAAAGUCUCUCCUAACUAAAUCUGAGGUUUUUUUUUGUUUGGCAGUAAAUUAAUGAAGCCAAAGAUCACGGGAGACCAUCUGCUUGUGUUUACCCAUGAGGCAGUGUGGCAUAGGCGAAUGGGUGCGAGUCUAGCCCUGCUAUUCCUGCCUGUGUAACCCUAGAGAGCCUUUCUAAUUACUCUCUGCCUCUGCUUCCUUACCUGUAAAAUGGGCUAAAUAAUGGUACCUGUGUCAGUUAAUAUUUGUGAAAUGCCUAAUAGAGCCUAUUCCAAACAAUUACUACAUCAGUCUUUUUAAAAAAUAAAACUGUGUCUUUAUUUUAAUUUUCAGAUGUUUCCACUCACAAUAUUGGUAAAUGUAGAGUUUGCCUCUACUGACUGUCAGCUGAACAUCUUGGUUAAGACUCAGACUGCCUGAUUCUUCUCUUCCACUUACAAGCCUUGGGAAAGUCACAUAUAACCAUGUGGAACCUCCACUUCCUCACAUGGAAGCAGGAGAACCAAAUGACAACUCGGAGGAAAUGAUCAGGACUGAGAAGGAGAGGAGAAAAUCCAAGAGGCCAGACCCUCACGUGGACCCUAUUGUCUCUUCCUUCCAACCUCCCAGCCUAUAAACACCUGUGCUAAGCCCAGCUGCCCAGCCCAGGCCCCAUCUGUGGGUGAGGCCUGAGACUUUUCGACCUUGCCUUGGCUGAGCACCGUUAUUACCACAUGCCUAAGACCCGUGCUCCAAUGCAUCUAUCAGGAAUAAAGCUGAUGUCUUAAGCC
rnacentral:lncRNA from 1 species